ACUAUAUUUAGAAAUUAAAAUUUAUUUUAGUUUUGAUUUAUAUGUGAAAAUUUAAAAUUAUACAGAGUAUUAUAAUAACAAUUUGAGCUGAUUAAUUUUCAAAAAUAAAAAUUACAAAGAUUUUGUUAGAAAGAUUCAUUUUUAUUUAAAAUUAAAAGAAGAUAUUUUAUCCAACUUAGUGUAUUUCUCAAAUAUGAUAUUUACUACAAACUUAUUUUGAAGUACAAUGUAUUAUAGUAUUUCUUGAAAAUAAAUUCUUUAAUUUUAUUAUAGUAUUUCUUUAAAAACUUAUUUUGAAGUACAAUGUAUUAUAGUAUUUCUUUAAAAACUUAUUUUCUUUUAUUUUCUUUUUUCUUUAAUUGCUAAGAAACCCAUAAAAUGUCAGUGUUGGAGGUGCUCUUGGGGUGUGUUUUUAGAACUUCACACACCUUUUUUCUUUGCCUCUCUCUUAAGUGAUUGUGUUAAAUCCCGCGUUGCUCAUGCUCUAACAGCUAAACAUUUUACGAGUAUUUUACCAAAAAAAAAACAUUUUACGAGCUCCAAAUAUUUUCCAUCAUCACUCACAACAUCACACCAUUGCACCUUACCCGAAAUCUCUUUUCUAUUCAGGUUUCCAAAGCAAUCUCCGCACACCAAAUCUUCUCGUUGUCCUGAAGAAAAAGAACCAAUUUCUCACCCCAAGGCACUGUAUACGUACCCCAUGAACCAUUCGUCUUAGACAACAAUUCUUCCACACCUUUCACCACACUCCGGCACCUCUGCUUUGGUCCUUUGGAUCAUACGCUCUCAACUUGUUCUUGUAGACAUCGUAAUAGUAAAAUACAUUGUCAACAACACAACCUUGCUCCCAUUUCCUCCAAUUCCCAUUUACUUUCCUUAGGUUCAUAAGAGUAGCUAUAAUAGUCAUCUCUGAUCUCUCACGUAAAUUUUAUGUGAAUGAUAAAAUUUCAUAUGUUAAAUCCCAUUAAGUUUCAGUUGAGGAUGAUAGACCUUUGGUUUAGUUACCUUUGACUUUUGAGUUUGCAUUAGUUUUGGUUAUUGUUUAUUGAAUAUACAUUUUAUUAUAUAAGUUAACUAGUUUGGGAUUUCUGAGUGUUUUCUAUUUAAAUUGUGUUAUUUCCCUCUUUCCUCAUCCUCUUGACUUGGCAUAAUGUAGUUGUAGAUAAAUUAUUUUUACUCAUUAGUAAUUUUGAUCAUCUUUUUAUUGAGAUUAUUUAUUUAGUACAUUGUAGAUAGAAGAAGCUCCUUAACUAUGGAGCAAGUAGGAAGAGUGAGAGAUAUAGAGAUGAUCCGAUGGAGGAAAGUGUUUCAUGCAUUAGCAAGCCUCUUCUUCUGACUCUGGGAGGAAAGACUUGAGCGGAGGAAAUCUUGUUUCGCAGGAUUCUUGGCGGUCCCGUUAAUGAAUCUCUGGUACCAUUUACCAGAUUCUUUGAGGUUUCUAUCGUCGAGAUCGUCCCAAUUAACAUAACUGAGUCCAAAUCUGACGGUAAAACCUUUACAGAAUUCAUAAUUAUCUCCAAGAGCCCAU